UAUGUGAUCGUCUCUCGCAUAUCAAUAAGCGGAGGAAAAGAAACUAACAAGGAUUCCCCUAGUAACGGCGAGUGAAGCGGGAAGAGCUCAAAUUUGAAAUCUUAAAGGGUUUCCCUUUACGAAUUGUAGUUUAAAGAAGUGUUUUCUGUUGAGGUUUUGGUAAAAGUUCUUUGGAAUAGGACAUCAUAGAGGGUGAGAAUCCCGUAUUUGACCUUUACUUUCAACUUUGUGAUGCACUUUCAAAGAGUCGGAUUGUUUGGGAAUGCAGUCCAAAAUGGGUGGUAAAUUUCAUCUAAAGCUAAAUAUUGGCGAGAGACCGAUAGCGAACAAGUACCGUGAGGGAAAGAUGAAAAGAACUUUGAAAAGAGAGUUAAACAGUACGUGAAAUUGUCAAAAGGGAAGCGUUCGACACCAGUGUUGUUUUUCUGAAAAUCAAUUAAAGAACUGUUUAUGCUAAGUUGUUUAGACUUUAUCAGCUAUACUGUUUAGUUUUGAGCUUUUCUUUAAUGCACUUUUCAGUUAACAAGUCAACAUCAAUUUCUUUUGCUGUAAAAAAGCUUGAGGAAGGUGGCUUGAGAUUCGUCUUAAGUGUUUAUAGCCUCUUGCCUAUGCAGUCGGAGAGAUUGAGGUCUGCAGCGUAGAUCCUUCGGGGCUAAAUGUAUUUGUGCUAAGUUAUAGCAUUUUAUAGACAACUUGUUGACUAUGAUUUGUCUUGUAGCUUACUCGCUUAUGUUAUUUUACCUACGCUUAGGAUGUUGAUCUACAGAGCGAGAGU
rnacentral:rRNA from 1 species